GAAGAGCGAGGUGCUUUCAUGCGCCUAUAUGUGUUUAAUUUUAAUGAUUUAAUGGGGACUUUGGUUUAAUCGCUAGUUUGUUUGUUUAUUUGUUUUUACAAUCAAACGGAUCAAAAUGUUCUUUUCCCCAUAAUUGGGACUGAUGUAGUUUCGAUUUUAUUAUUGGUAUCAAUUGGGUCUUUACCCUUAUGAGGAUUUCAGAGUGUUAUGGUCUAUACCGGGUUACUUUU
rnacentral:misc_RNA from 1 species